GCUUAACGCGAAGAACCUUACCUACCCUUGACAUGCUAGGAACCUCGCAGAGAUGUGAGGGUGCCCGAAAGGGAACCUAGACACAGGUGCUGCAUGGCUGUCGUCAGCUCGUGUCGUGAGAUGUUGGGUUAAGUCCCGCAACGAGCGCAACCCUUGCCAUUAGUUGCUACAUUCAGUUGGGCACUCUAAUGGGACUGCCGGUGACAAACCGGAGGAAGGUGGGGAUGACGUCAAGUCCUCAUGGCCCUUAUGGGUAGGGCUUCACACGUAAUACAAUGGCGCAUACAGAGGGCUGCAAACCCGCGAGGGGGAGCCAAUCCCAAAAAGUGCGUCGUAGUCCGGAUUGUUCUCUGCAACUCGAGAGCAUGAAGUCGGAAUCGCUAGUAAUCGCGGAUCAGCAUGUCGCGGUGAAUACGUUCCCGGGUCUUGUACACACCG
rnacentral:rRNA from 1 species